AAACAACUCUUCUCACCUAUUUCAAUGCAGCUAUUCUGAGCUUUGUAUUUGCCUGGCAUACUGCAAAUUCUUAACUGGUUCCUAGAAUUCCCAUAAAGAUUUUUUUGGUCUGUACAUUUUUGUUAAUUUACUUUGUCUGUGAAGGAACCUGGGCUGGGACUUUUUAUUCUCUCAUCUUGCUGACAUAGCUUCCCCUUGUUUCUGCUAUUGAGUCCAUCUGAUGUAUUCAUGGUUGAAGUGUCAAAAUAUCUGCAACUUAUUUUCGAACACUCAGAAAAAAAUAGAACAUUUGGAGAAAAACAAGAAGAGAGAGAAAAAGAGAAAUUUUAUCUUCUGAAGAUAGCUUCUGUGACACAGUUUUUGAAAUUUCCUCAAGUUUCUUCAACUCCUCUCCAAACGAAAACAAGUUAAACAACUAUAGUAAAAAAUAUUGUAAAACAUACAUUUAUAACAAAAUUAAGCAAGUAAGUAUCCCCAGUGCACUCCAAAUGAUGCAAACAUGUGGGUCAAACCACUAAAAGCAAUCAGAACCCUAGGUUAUUAUCAACGGUUCAGCAGAAACAGGAAGGAAGGCAAAGUGACUCAUGAUAGCCUCACAAAUCUACAACAAAGAGUUACCAUGUAAUUUGAGAGACCAUUGCUCCUUCUAGUAAGCAUGGAAAGCCAAGCUGAGAAUAGCUGCUCCAAUAAAGAGAGGCUUCAUCUUCAAGGACAGGGCACAAUUACAGUGGGAAAUAUGUGAAACUUCUGGAUCCUAUGAACUCUCAAACUUUCUGAAGGUCACUUCCAUUUGAAAGCUAUACAUUGAGGAGAACUUGUUAGGAGUAGAACCUGAAUUCAGCAGGAUAAGGCUGAAGUGAAAAAUAUGUAUAUAUAACAGCAGUUUUCAGACACUGGAUAGCAGACAUCAUAGAAAAGUAAUUCCUGAUAAAAGUGAAAAUAAACAAGAUGAGCCCUCCUGUUCACCAAGCUCACAACCUAGAGGUGAUUAAUACGUUUCAGGACAGGGAAGAAGAAAGCAGGUUCAGCUCAGUGACUUAUAGAGACCGAGUUCGGUGUUUCGAGAGGCAAAGGUGUCUAGAGAUUACAGACAAAGAACAAAUAACAGAGCUGUAAGAGAAAGUUCUGUAGAGAGUUUCAGAGGAUGCCCCAUGAAUCUCUAUCUGAGUAGUAAUUAGCACAUGGGUAUAAGGAACAUUGCCAAGGCCGGGAAAGGAGCCACCCAAAUGAAGUAGGUGAAUCAACUCCUGGCGCUCUCACAGAAAUAGAAUAUUUUUACCAUGCCAGGUGAAAAUAAAUACACAAUACAACGAACUUCAAGUAAAUAAUCAGAAGAGUAUUACCUCAACAGUGGAACAGAAUUAUUAGUAAACUGAAGGCUGUUGUGUUGUUGGAAUCCUGCCUAGCAAACCUGUGAUACAAUCCUGCCACAAUCAAAGAUUUUCCAGUAACUUGACCAUGUUAAAGGACAGUGCUCAAGUUCUCCCAAUGAGACAUAGGAAUGUGAAUAGCCCUAGUUGUUGCUGUUUUAGUUAAAUUUGUAGUUAACUUCCUCUAAUGAGGAAACCACCAGAUCUGGGUAUCUUUACUGGUAAAUUCUAGUAAGUAUUUAAAAAGGACAUAGCACCAAACACACACCCACAUAAACUGUCACACACUCUUAUGCAGUUUAUACCAAAUAUUCAUUCCUUACUAAAAUUCAUUUUUGUUAUUAGCAACAUUAGCAGAGGCAGACCACCAAAUCUGGGAUUUCUCCAUGGUUCUGACUUCUAUUAUUUCACUUUUUUUUUUUCAAUUCUCUCUCUACUUCGUCCCCCUUGUAGAAGAUAUCCAAUUUGUCUUCUUGUUUCUUGCUGGUGUUUAUUCGUUUUUGUUAGUUUGUUGCCUUGUCUAAUAUUGCUAAUCAUUCUUAUUGGUUUGAUCAUACCUUUAUAAAAUUUACCCUCCUUUCCUAUCUGCUUAUCAGAUUUUUCCACCAAACAAAUGCAAGAGUUUACUUAAAUAUAAAAAAUUCACCUCAACUACAUGCCUUGCUAAAAUUAUAAAACCGACAGUGUGGAAAGGAGAAGCAGAAAGAGAUAGUAAGAUACAGAGAGAUAUUAACUGAAAGUAUUGCCUCUUUAUUUUAGCAUACCAUAGGCGUAUGACAUGAAUUUUCAUCAAUAACAUCUUCG
rnacentral:lncRNA from 1 species